CUGCAGCUCAAGUGGUGACCACUAUUAUUGGGCCUAAAACGUCCGUAGCCUGUUUGGUAAAUGCCUGGGUAAAUCGUGUCGCUUAACGAUACGAAUUCCGGGUAGACUGCCAGGCUUGGGACCGGGAGAGGUUAGAGGUACUCCUGGGGUAGAGGUGAAAUUCUGUAAUCCUAGGGGGACCACCAGUGGCGAAGGCGUCUAACCAGAACGGGUCUGACGGUGAGGGACGAAGCCCUGGGGCGCAAACCGGAUUAGAUACCCGAGUAGUCC
rnacentral:rRNA from 1 species